UACGUAGGUGGCAAGCGUUGUCCGGAAUUAUUGGGCGCAAAGCGCGCGCAGGCGGCCUUUUAAGUCUGAUGUGAAAUCUUGCGGCUCAACCGCAAGCGGCCAUUGGAAACUGGGAGGCUUGAGUACAGAAGAGGAGAGUGGAAUUCCACGUGUAGCGGUGAAAUGCGUAGAUAUGUGGAGGAACACCAGUGGCGAAGGCGACUCUCUGGUCUGUAACUGACGCUGAGGCGCGAAAGCGUGGGGAGCAAACAGG
rnacentral:rRNA from 1 species